CACAAGGAUCAACAAUUCAUAUUGGCACCAUAUCAUCAAAAUAAUCAUUGGAUACUCAUCGUGAUUAGCACACCUUCAAAAACGGUGUAUGUGUUUGAUCCUUUGAAAAGUGUGCACCGCGACCUUGAAGUCAAAAUUUAUGUGAAUAUGGCAUUUCGAUCUAUUCCUACA